UACGGAGGGAGCUAGCGUUGUUCGGAAUUACUGGGCGUAAAGCGCACGUAGGCGGCUUUGUAAGUUAGAGGUGAAAGCCCAGGGCUUAACCCUGGAAUUGCCUUUAAGACUGCAUCGCUAGAAUCGUGGAGAGGUAAGUGGAAUUCCGAGUGUAGAGGUGAAAUUCGUAGAUAUUCGGAAGAACACCAGUGGCGAAGGCGACUUACUGGACACGUAUUGACGCUGAGGUGCGAAAGCGUGGGGAGCAAACAGG
rnacentral:rRNA from 1 species